GUUAUCAAGAAAGGUGAAGGGAAUAGACCCUAUGAAGCCUUAGCAACCCUCGUUCUUCGAGAAGGUGCUAAAUUCUACCCCAAUUGGGAGAGAUAA
rnacentral:ncRNA from 1 species